rnacentral:rRNA from 1 species
AACGAACGCUGGCGGCAUGCCUAACACAUGCAAGUCGAACGAGACCUUCGGGUCUAGUGGCGCACGGGUGCGUAACGCGUGGGAACCUGCCCUUAGGUUCGGAAUAACUCCCCGAAAGGGGUGCUAAUACCGGAUAAUUUCUUCGGACCAAAGAUUUAUCGCCUUUGGAUGGGCCCGCGUUGGAUUAGCUAGUUGGUAGGGUAAAAGCCUACCAAGGCGACGAUCCAUAGCUGGUCUGAGAGGAUGAUCAGCCACACUGGGACUGAGACACGGCCCAGACUCCUACGGGAGGCAGCAGUGGGGAAUAUUGGACAAUGGGCGAAAGCCUGAUCCAGCAAUGCCGCGUGAGUGAUGAAGGCCUUAGGGUUGUAAAGCUCUUUUACCGGGAUGAUAAUGACAGUACCGGGAGAAUAAGCUCCGGCUAACUCCGUG